rnacentral:rRNA from 1 species
GACGAACGCUGGCGGCGUGCUUAACACAUGCAAGUCGAACGAUGAAGCCGGAGCUUGCUCUGGUGAAUUAGUGGCGAACGGGUGAGUAACACGUGAGUAACCUGCCCUUGACUCUGGGAUAACUGCGGGAAACUGUAGCUAAUACCGGAUACGACCCUCGGAGGCAUCUCCUGGGGGUGGAAAGAAUUUCGGUAAAGGAUGGACUCGCGGCCUAUCAGCUAGUUGGGGAGGUAAAGGCUCACCAAGGCGACGACGGGUAGCCGGCCUGAGAGGGUGACCGGCCACACUGGGACUGAGACACGGCCCAGACUCCUACGGGAGGCAGCAGUGGGGAAUAUUGCACAAUGGGCGCAAGCCUGAUGCAGCAACGCCGCGUGAGGGAUGACGGCCUUCGGGUUGUAAACUGCUUUUAUAUGUGACGAUUAUGACGGUAGCAUAUGAAUAAGGAUCGGCUAACUCCGUGCCAGCAGCCGCAGUAA